CGCGUAGGCGGUCUGCCAAGUCAGGGGUGAAAUCCCGGGGCUCAACCCCGGAACUGCCCUUGAAACUAUCAGACUAGAAUCUUGGAGAGGUCAGUGGAAUUCCGAGUGUAGAGGUGAAAUUCGUAGAUAUUCGGAAGAACACCAGUGGCGAAGGCGACUGACUGGACAAGUAUUGACGCUGAGGUGCGAAAGCGUGGGGAGCAAACA
rnacentral:rRNA from 1 species